GACGAACGCUGGCGGCGUGCUUAACACAUGCAAGUCGAACGGAAAGGCCCUGCUUUUGUGGGGUGCUCGAGUGGCGAACGGGUGAGUAACACGUGAGUAACCUGCCCUUGACUUUGGGAUAACUUCAGGCAACUGGGGCUAAUACCGGAUAGGAGCUCCCGCUGCAUGGUGGGGGCUGGAAAGUUUCGGCGGUUGGGGAUGGACUGGCGGCUUAUCGGCUUGUUGGUGGGGUAGUGGAUUACCAAGGCUUUGACGGGUAGCCGGCCUGCGAGGGUGACCGGCCACGUUGGGACGGGGAUGCGGCCCAGACUCCUACGGUAGGCAACGGUGGAGAAUAUUGCACAAUGGGCGGAAGCCUGAUGCAGCAACGCCACGUGGGGGAUGACGGGCUUCGGGUUGUAAACCACUUUCGCCUGUGACGAGGCGUGAGUGACGGUACUGGGUAAAGAAGCACCGGCUAACUACGUG
rnacentral:rRNA from 1 species